rnacentral:rRNA from 1 species
UACGGAGGGUGCGAGCGUUGUCCGGAAUCACUGGGCGUAAAGGGCGCGUAGGCGGCGCGGGUAGUCAUCGGUGAAAGUUCAGGGCUCAACUCUGAAUCGGCCGGUGAUACUCCCGUGCUCGAGCACUGUAGAGGCAGGUGGAAUUCCGGGUGUAGCGGUGGAAUGCGUAGAGAUCCGGAAGAACACCGGUGGCGAAGGCGGCC